CCAAUAUAUGUCCCUAACUGUUUUAACAUGAUUUACUAAUAAUAUCAUAGGUGGGUCGUGGUAGGUGGAACAAUAGCCGGAUGGAAACUUGCCCAUGAACUUACCAGUGUUUUGGGGCACUGAGUAACAAGUGUAAUUACCUCGGGAUACUGUGACUCCAUCAGGUGGUCUAGUGUUUCCCUGGGUAAUGGGAUACACCUUUUUC